UGUGGGCAAGUGCCACUGCCUGGAGGGCAGAGCAGAGAACAAGGUAUUUGGCUAGCUCUACUGCAGCUAGCGAACUGCCCUUCAUCCCUUGAAAUUUGACAGAUGGGAUGUAUACUGGCAAACUCAGUUGGGGUGGGUGACUUGUUCUUCAGUAUGUCUGUCAAGUGAACUCUAUUUAAAAAAUAAAUCAAUUAAAAAGCCUCUAUCCAUCCAUGAUCCAGCAGGGUCAUGCCUAUUGCUGUUUGAAAACCAAACCUUUAGUAGACAUGAAUAACAAUCAAGCAGUUUCCAGAUUACAUUGACUAGCUAGGUAGUCAUCUCUGUAUUAAUAAUGACAAUUAGGCCUACCUGCUUGGCUUUAGCUGUCCUGUUGUUUUGUGAAACUGUCAUGGGCUUUGCUUGGAUAGAGGCAUCUCAAUUUGACAAGCUAACUUAGCUAGAUAACGUUAGCUGGUUAGUGGCUAUUCUAACGUUAUUUCCUCAUACUGACUGUAUAUAGCUAGUUAACGUUACUGGUUUGCCAAAGGGACAAGAGGUGCUGAGAAUUGACAGCUUGUUUUAUGUUAUUCACAAUCCAAGCAACAUGGUUAAAGUACAACGUAAUGUUGCGACGGUUAGGAUUUUUGGCUCCCACUGGCGUGAUGUCACAGUGGCUAAGGCAGGGAUGUACUGUGACCUGAAUUUGAGGCCAAAUCAACAGAGAGGACAACAACAGAAAGCAAACACAGGUUCCAAGACAGCUCAGGAGUGGCAUCGGUACAAGUCUCUGAAUGUACUUGAGUGGCCCAGCCAAAGUCCGAUCGAAGAUCUCUGGAGAGACCUGAAAAUAGUGGUGCAGCAACACUCCCCAUCCAACCUGACAGAGCUUUAGAGGAUCUGCAAAGAAGAAUGGGAGAAACUUCCCAAAUACAGGUGUGCCAAGUAAAUAGCAUAUCCAAUAAUACUCUAUGCUGUAAUCGCUGCCAAAGGUGAUUCCACAAAGUACUGAGCAAAGGGUCUGAAUACUUACGUAAAUGUGUUAUUUCAGUUUUUUUAUACAAAUUUGCAAACAUUUCUAAAAAACUGUUUUUCCUUUGUCAUUAUGGGGUAUUGUGUGUAGAUUGAUGAGGGGAAAAAAAGCAAUUUAAUAAAUUUUAGAAUAAGGGUGUAACGUAAAAAACUGUGGGAAAAGUCAUGGGGUUUGAAUACUUUCCAACUGUAUAUUGCAUACUGAACAACAACUGAGUAAAAAUAGAAUUCUCACAAUGUAAAUGUCAAUUGUAUUUCAAAACUUUCUAAGAAUGUCAAAAACAUACAUUGAAAAUUAUGGAAAUAAGAUUCAUUGUCAAUAUGAUGUUUGUAUUGCUCAGGAACAGACAGACAAGUUCUCACUCAUGACAGCUGUCAAAGUCCUGGAGGCAACGCCCACUAAUCUGAAGAGCGCUUGUGAUUUUUGUGAUUGGUCACAUAUGGACCAAUCCCUGAAGCUGUUCAGGCACAAUUUCUAUAGUUUGGGCCACUCACAUGGCAGCACUGUUGUUGUUUGGAUUGUGUAACGUGCGCUGCACGUGUUUGACAAUGCGCGGAGCAGAAGGAGGGAAAGAGAAAGAACAGAGAGAAAAAAAGUGUGUAGCUGUAGAAAGAAUUUCAUAACCGAAACUUGCAUGAUAGAUUUAAUCAGUAUUAAGAUGUUUCUAGGUAUUUAGCCAAAUCUGAUGUAACGUUUAAUAAAAUGAUUUCUUUCUGUA